rnacentral:rRNA from 1 species
CCUACGGGUGGCAGCAGUGGGGAAUAUUGGACAAUGGGCGAAAGCCUGAUCCAGCCAUGCCGCGUGUGUGAAGAAGGCCUUCGGGUUGUAAAGCACUUUCAGUGGGGAAGAAAGCCUUGGGGCUAAUACCCUCGAGGAAGGACAUCACCCACAGAAGAAGCACCGGCUAACUCCGUGCCAGCAGCCGCGGUAAUACGGAGGGUGCGAGCGUUAAUCGGAAUUACUGGGCGUAAAGCGCGCGUAGGCGGUCUGAUAAGCCGGUUGCGAAAGCCCCGGGCUCAACCUGGGAACGGCAUCCGGACAAUGUACGGCUAGAGUGAAGGAGAGGAAGGUAAAAUUCCGGGUGUAGCGGGGAAAGGCGGAGAGAUAGGGAGGAAUACCAGUGGCGAAGGCGGCCUUCUGAACUGACACUGACGCUGGGGUGCGAAAGCGUGGGUAGAAAACAGGAUUAGAUACCCUUGUAGUC